GCCAGACUCCUACGGGAGGCAGCAGUGAGGAAUAUUGGUCAAUGGGCGCGAGCCUGAACCAGCCAAGUCGCGUGAGGGAUGAAGGAUCUAUGGUUCGUAAACCUCUUUUAUAAGGGAAUAAAGUGCGGGACGCGUCCCGCUUCGCAUGUACCUUAUGAAUAAGGAUCGGCUAACUCCGUGCCAGCAGCCGCGGUAAUACGGAGGAUCCGAGCGUUAUCCGGAUUUAUUGGGUUUAAAGGGUGCGUAGGCGGCCUUUUAAGUCAGCGGUGAAAGUCUGUGGCUCAACCAUAGAAUUGCCGUUGAAAUUGGGGGCCUUGAGUGGGCGAGAAGAAGGCGGAAUGCGUGGUGUAGCGGUGAAAUGCAUAGAUAUCACGCAGAACCCCGAUUGCGAAGGCAGCCUUCCGGCGCCCUACUGACGCUGAGGCACGAAAGUGCGGGGAUCGAACAGGAUUAGAUACCCCGGUA
rnacentral:rRNA from 1 species